AUCCAGCGUGGCAUAGUGGUUUGAGUGUGGGACUACGACUCUGGAGACCAGGGUUCAAUUCCUGCUUGGCUA
rnacentral:tRNA from 1 species